rnacentral:sRNA from 1 species
AUGCUCGGAAUAACUUCCUGCAGCGACCAACAGGCUAAAGAGGGGGAAGGUCUGGAGGUUGGAAAGAGGACUGGAAUCUGAUUGGGGUUCCAACAAAUCUGUAACACCGCUGGGAACGACUGGGUCCCCUUUAGGUCCUUUAGGACAGCGUUUGAAAUCUUGCUUUCCCCUGCAGGGAUCCAGCACCGGCUCCUCCUCCGGCAACCACGGUGGGAGCGGCGGAGGAAAUGGACAUAAACCCGGGAACUCUGAGACGUCUCCUGGGAUGUUUAACUUUGACACUUUCUGGAAGAAUUUUAAAUCCAAGCUGGGUUUCAUCAACUGGGAUGCCAUAAACAAGAACCAGGUCCCGCCCCCCAGCACCCGAGCCCUCCUCUACUUCAGCCGACUCUGGGAGGAUUUCAAACAGAACACUCCUUUCCUCAACUGGAAAGCAAUUAUUGAGGGUGCGGACGCGUCAUCACUGCAGAAACGUGCAGGCAGAGCCGAUCAGAACUACAAUUACAACCAGCAUGCGUAUCCCACUGCCUAUGGUGGGCAGUACUCAGUCAAGACCCCUGCAAAGGGGGGAGUCUCACCUUCUUCCUCGGCUUCCCGAGUGCAACCUGGCCUGCUGCAGUGGGUGAAGUUUUGGUAGGUGAGUGUCAGAGUGAGCCGACCCAGGCCACAUCCUGGGAGUGGAGGCACAGUCACCCGGGGCAGGGCCAGGAUCUUGGUAUAUCCUCAGAUCUCAGUGGGCAGCGACAUGAAGUCAGGCAAUUUCUUGCAGCCACCACCGAGGCCCCGAAAAGCACUGGUCGUCAGGGAGUUCCUCCCCUUGGCCCCCAGCCUGUGCCAGCCCUGGCCCGGCUGCCACACCUCUGUUUCCUAGGCUGGGGACCCAGCUUGUCUCUCCUUGUUUCUUCCCACUGCACUGUGGUGCUUCAGUGGCCACCAGCCUCGUCAGAUACACCAGCAUCUUUCUGUACCUCCUCCCUUUGGUGACCUGAAGUCACUGUGACAGUUCUCCAGGAAGGAGGAGCUUCCUACUUUUGAGUUUCUCUGUGGAAAUAAAACAUGAAUCUUGUUUCCCUA